AAACCUUUCUGGGUCUAAACUAAUUUGCAGGUGUUGGGAACAUGGUUUUGAUAUCGCCUCUCUUGCUUCUCCAUCUUCCUUUCAAUUAAUCGUAGCCAGAGACGCUGAAGAGCUUUGCGAUUCUACUCAGUUCAUCUUCCUUUCUUGCAAAACACAGUCCGGGUUCCUUUGUUUCUGUGCGGUCGUCGUUGAUUAGCAACAAUAAUGAAAAGUAACUGGAAUUUCAGUCGGUACAAGGAUCAUCGGGGACUUCUCCGCUUUUUGGUGGUGUGGUUGCUCUUUCAGAGCUUGUUGGGUCUAUGCAGCUCUUUGAAUGACGAAGGUAAAGCGCUCUUGAAGUUGAGGCAGAGAAUAUUGAGUGACCCAUUUGGUGCUUUGUCGAAUUGGAUUGAUGAAGAAGGAGAAGUUGACCCGUGCAAUUGGUUCCGAGUUCAGUGCGUAGAUGGGAGAGUGGUGGUCUUGAAUUUGAAAGAUCUUUGCCUUGGAGGAACUCUGGUACCUGAGCUUGCGAAGCUUGUUCAUGUAAAGUCCAUUAUUCUGCGAAACAAUUCUUUCUAUGGAAUCAUUCCAGAAGAAAUUGCCGAGUUAAAAGAGUUGGAGGUUUUGGAUUUGGGAUACAACAAUUUCAGUGGAUCUCUACCAGCAGAUCUUGGGAGUAACAUCUCCCUAGCCAUGCUUUUGCUGGACAACAAUGAGCUUCUUGGUGGGUUCUCUCCCGAAAUUAAUGAACUGAAGAUGCUUUCUGAAAGUCAAGUGGAUGAAAACCAGCUAACUGGUGCAGCGAAAUUGCCGUCUUGUGCGAGCAGAUCCAUUUCACAGAAUAUUGGUGAAGACGGUGUAGCUCUGCGAAGACUCCUGCAAAAGGGCAGUAACCGCACAGCUGAAUUGCCCCCUGCCCCUGCCCAUGCAUCUGCCCCUGCCCCUGCCCAUGCAUCUGCCCCUGCCCCUGCCCCUGCCCCUGCCCCUGUUCCAUCUCCAUCCCCUUCACACCCUCCAUCAAUUUCCCCGCCCCCUUCAGCAGUAGCGCCUGUAAAACCAAAUAAAACUUCCCCUGGUAGAAAUACAUCUGCAUCUCCUUCUCCAAAGAUACCCGAAGCAAGAUCGAAAAGUUUUUCAAAAAAUCAUGUUGCAAUUUUGGUGGGAGCUAUAGGUGGUGGUGUAUUUCUUAUUUUAAUUGCCGGCAUAUAUGUCUGUAGAACCAACAAAGUUACUACUGUCAAGCCUUGGGCAACAGGACUAAGUGGGCAGCUUCAGAAGGCAUUUGUAACAGGUGUGCCAAAGUUAAAAAGGUCCGAGCUCGUGGCAGCAUGUGAAGACUUUAGCAAUGUACUUGGCACCUCACCAAUCGGAACAGUGUACAAAGGGACUUUAUCUAGCGGAGUUGAAAUUGCGGUGGCAUCUGUUACCGUGACAUCAUCGAAUGCUUGGUCAAAGACUUUAGAAGUACAGUUUAGGAAAAAGAUUGACUCGUUAUCGAAAGUGAAUCACAAGAACCUUGUCAAUCUACUUGGAUAUUGUGAGGAAGAGGAACCUUUCACCAGAAUGAUGGUUUUUGAAUAUGCACCCAAUGGAACUCUCUUCGAGCAUUUACACAUAAAAGAAGCUGAGCACUUGGAUUGGAGAACAAGGCUUAGAAUUGCAAUGGGCAUGGCAUACUGCCUGCAAUACGUGCACCAGCUAGACCCUCCUGUAGCCCUGAGCAAUAUGAACUCUUCCUCCAUCUUUCUCACCGAGGACUAUGCUGCAAAAAUUGCAGAUCUGAGUUUCUCAUAUGAAAUAGCUUCAUCUGAGAUGAAGACCAAGGGCAGAAAACAAUUUGAUAAUCCAUUAGCAGGUCCACAAAGCAACGUUUAUGACUUUGGUGUUGUACUAUUUGAAAUGGUAACAUCCAGAGUCCCUUAUUCAGUUGAUGACAGCUCACUUGAAAACUGGGCAUCAGAUUAUUUACAAGUGGAUCAUCCCUUGAGAGAAAUGGUCGAUCCAACUCUAGCCUCUUUUGAUGAAGAGAAGUUAGAACAAGUUGCUGAACUGAUCAAAUCUUGUGUUCAUCCUGAUCCUAAGCAAAGACCAAGUAUGAAAGAUGUUAGUAUGAGACUGAGAGAAAUAACAAACAUAACACCUGAUGCAGCAGUGCCAAGACUUUCUCCACUCUGGUGGGCAGAGCUUGAGAUUUGUUCAGCAGAUGCAAGCUAAAUGAUAGGGAGUUUCAGAUUGUAAAAAGGAAGGAGCUUUCAAUAGUCUGAUCGUUUUUCUGUCGGUGAAGGCGCAAAGAGUACUCACCUGAAGGUCGAUACACAUAGGAACUGGGAACAUGAACGAUGACUUGCUAUUUUAGUAAUUGCCUUUGCAUUUGCGCGUGGACAACCAGACUUUGCAGCUGGAAUAUGAAUACACGGCGGACAAUUUGGCCUGCAGUGUCGUAUGAUGGUGGAGAUCUUCAAUAAAUCUGAGUUUUUUAUUUUGUACGACAGCUAUUGAAUUCCCAGUUGAUUCUGGUCACAAAAUAACAACGACAAUAAUGAUGUGUUCUAAAAUAUGGUAUAACCCCCUUGUAUUGUUUUACAUAACGUCAAUCUUUUGAUUCAUUCUACUGAA